rnacentral:rRNA from 1 species
GACGAACGCUGGCGGCGUGGAUUAGGCAUGCAAGUCGAACGGUAUCAUCCUUUCGGGGGUGAGAGAGUGGCGAACUGGUGAGUAACACGUAGGUUAUCUACCCUCAAGACGGGGACAACCCAGGGAAACUUGGGCUAAUACCGGAUGUGAGCAACUUUUAGUUGUUUGAAAGGUGGCGUAAGCUGUCGCUUGGGGAUGAGCCUGCGUCCUAUUAGUUAGUUGGUGAGGUAACGGCUCACCUAGGCAAUGAUAGGUAGGCGGCCUUAACGGGUGGUCGCCCACACUGGGAUUGAGAUACGGCCCAGACUCCUACGGGAGGCAGCAGUCGAGAAUAGUCUACAAUGGUCGGAAGACUGAUAGUGCGACGCCGCGUGAACGAUGAAUCCCCUCGGGGUGUAAAGUUCUUUUAUAUGUGAGCAGUGCUUCUUAUAUUAACAGUAUGGGGAGAGAGAUAUUAGCAUAUGAAUAAGCAACGGCUAACUCCGUGCCAGCAGCCGCGGU